CAGGCGUCGAGUGGCGGACGGGUGAGUAACGCGUAGGAAUCUACCAAAUAGCGGGGGAUAGCCCGGGGAAACUCGGAUUAAUACCGCAUACGCCCUAAGGGGGAAAGGCCGGGAUCUUCGGACCUUUCGCUAUGAGAUGAGCCUGCGUUAGAUUAGCUAGUUGGUAGGGUAAAGGCCUACCAAGGCGACGAUCUAUAGCUGUUCUGAGAGGAAGAUCAGCCACACUGGGACUGAGACACGGCCCAGACUCC
rnacentral:rRNA from 1 species